UCGUUAUUCAUGCCUACAUGAGCUGCAUACAACUGCUCUAAUCGGUAGGAUGUGGACGGACAUUGCAUUCAUUCCCAUUCAGCCGUUGGACUGAACCUGUACUGUCUGUAACACAGUAUGGAUGGUCAAUAUGAAGCGAGCUUCAUUGAAUUUCUCCAAGAGCUCUGUACUCCGUUCUGAUCAUUUUGAAGAUGGUUGCUUUGACAGGACUGGGCAAGUGACUCGUCUUAGACAGGAUGCUGUCCCAACCAUGUUUGAUUUCCUGUCUCGUCUUCAGAAGAAUUCACCAAACCAAGGAAUUCCCCGAAAGAAAGAUGUUUUGAUUCAGCAAACAACCUCCCAGAUACUGCAAAGACACCUGUACCAAAGUCUUCAGCACCUUUAUUUCUCAAGGACCACUCCUACUCAAUAUCAGAAAGUCCAAGAGGGGUAAAGUGGAAGUUAACAGCAAUAAUGGACUGUAUUAAGAACUUGGAGAAGAGGCUGAAAACCACACACGAGAAGUCCCGCCGUGUACAUUACUUGCUCUUAAGUUUGGACAAACAUAACCUGCAAAACUUUACAACAAAUAAUUACCCCAAUGUGCAUUCUGAUUAUUUAAAAUAGCUCAAUGAAAUAGUUUAUCAGUGGGCAUGUAACAAAAGUGAAUUCAUUAAAUUUGAACGUGUUGCAAA